AUUGAACGCUGGCGGCAGGCUUAACACAUGCAAGUCGAGCGGGGGAAGGUAGCUUGCUACCGGACCUAGCGGCGGACGGGUGAGUAAUGCUUAGGAAUCUGCCUAUUAGUGGGGGACAACAUCUCGAAAGGGAUGCUAAUACCGCAUACGUCCUACGGGAGAAAGCAGGGGAUCUUCGGACCUUGCGCUAAUAGAUGAGCCUAAGUCGGAUUAGCUAGUUGGUGGGGUAAAGGCCUACCAAGGCGACGAUCUGUAGCGGGUCUGAGAGGAUUAUCCGCCAGACUGGGACUGAGAAACGGCCCAGACUCCUACGGGAGGCAGCAGUGGGGAAUAUUGGACAAUGGGGGGAACCCUGAUCCAGCCAUGCCGCGUGUGUGGAGAAGGCCUUAUGGUUGUAAAGCACUUUAAGCGAGGAGGAGGCUACUCUAGUUAAUACCUAGGGAUAGUGGACGUUACUCGCAGAAUAAGCACCGGCUAACUCUGUGCCAGCCGCCGCCGUAA
rnacentral:rRNA from 1 species